UGGGGAAUCUUGGACAAUGGGCGCAAGCCUGAUCCAGCCAUGCCGCGUGAGUGAAGAAGGCCUUAGGGUUGUAAAGCUCUUUUACCAGGGACGAUAAUGACGGUACCUGGAGAAUAAGCCCCGGCAAACUUCGUGCCAGCAGCCGCGGUAAUACGAAGGGGGCUAGCGUUGUUCGGAAUUACUGGGCGUAAAGCGCACGUAGGCGGGUCGUUAAGUCAGGGGUGAAAUCCCGGAGCUCAACUCCGGAACUGCCUUUGAUACUGGCGAUCUAGAGGUCGAGAGAGGUGAGUGGAAUUCCGAGUGUAGAGGUGAAAUUCGUAGAUAUUCGGAAGAACACCAGUGGCGAAGGCGGCUCACUGGCUCGAUACUGACGCUGAGGUGCGAAAGCGUGGGGAGCAAACAGGAUUAGAUACCCCCGUAGUCCCUGAGCGGGCUGGCAAGGCGCAU
rnacentral:rRNA from 1 species